rnacentral:rRNA from 1 species
GACGAACGCUGGCGGCGCGCUUAACACAUGCAAGUCGAACGGAAAGGCCUGCUUUCCCUUGUGGAUUGCGGGUACUCGAGUGGCGAACGGGUGAGUAACACGUGAGUGAUCUGCCCCCAACUUGGGUAUAAGCCUGGGAAACUGGGUCUAAUUCCCGAUAGGACUGCAGGGUGGUGCCUGUGGUGGAAAACGAUUUUCUAGUGGUUGGGGAUGAGCUCGCGGCCUAUCAGCUUGUUGGUGGGGUAAUGGCCUACCAAGGCGGCGACGGGUAGCCGGCCUGAGAGGGUGGACGGCCACAUUGGGACUGAGAUACGGCCCAGACUCCUACGGGAGGCAGCAGUGGGGAAUAUUGCACAAUGGGCGGAAGCCUGAUGCAGCGACGCCGCGUGGGGGAUGACGGCCUUCGGGUUGUAAACUCCUUUCGACCGCGAGGAAGCCACCUGGUUGGAAGGGUGGUGACGGUAGUGGUGGAAGAAGCACCGGCUAACUACGUG